rnacentral:rRNA from 1 species
UUUUCCUACGGGGGGCAGCAGUGGGGAAUAUUGCACAAUGGGGGAAACCCUGAUGCAGCGACGCCGCGUGAGUGAAGAAGUAUCUCGGAACGUAAAGCUCUAUCAGCAGGGAAGAAAAUGACGGUACCUGACUAAGAAGCCCCGGCUAACUACGUGCCAGCAGCCGCGGUAAUACGUAGGGGGCAAGCGUUAUCCGGAUUUACUGGGUGUAAAGGGUGCGUAGGUGGCAGGGCAAGUCAGAUGUGAAAGCCCGGGGCCCAACCCCCGGACUGCUCUGGAAACUGUGUAACUUGAGUGCAGGAGAG